AAGUCGUAACAAGGUUUCCGUAGGUGAACCUGCGGAAGGAUCAUUAUAGAGUGUUCUACCCCCUAUAAAAUGGUGGGUUUAACCUCCCGUCCUUUGCUAGACCUCCCUGUUUUGGAGGGCCUUUCAAACUUUUCUGCUUCGGCGGGAUUAUCCCCCGUCGGAACACCCUCAAAAAUUCUUGGUCAAAACCGUUCAGUCCGAGAAUCUUUUUUAUUGGGAAAAAAAAACUUUCAACAACGGAUCUCUUGGUUCUG
rnacentral:misc_RNA from 1 species